AUACGUAGGGUGCAAGCGUUAAUCGGAAUUACUGGGCGUAAAGCGUGCGCAGGCGGUUUUGUAAGACAGUGGUGAAAUCCCCGGGCUCAACCUGGGAACUGCCAUUGUGACUGCAAGGCUGGAGGGCGGCAGAGGGGGAUGGAAUUCCGCGUGUAGCAGUGAAAUGCGUAGAUAUGCGGAGGAACACCGAUGGCGACGGCAAUCCCCUGGGCCUGCACUGACGCUCAUGCACGAAAGCGUGGGGAGCAAACAGGAUUAGAUACCCUGGUAGUCCACGCCCUAAACGAUGUCAACUGGUUGUUGGGGAUUUAUUUUCUCAGUAACGAAGCUAACGCGUGAAGUUGACCGCCUGGGGAGUACGGCCGCAAGGUUAAAACUCAAAUGAAUUGACGGGG
rnacentral:rRNA from 1 species